rnacentral:tRNA from 1 species
GCCCUGCUAGCUCAAUCGGUUAGAGCGUCUGACUUUUAGGUCUGAAAAGGUCAUCAGGUCAUCAGAAGGCUGCGAGUUCGACUCUCGCGUGGGGCG